GUUUGUUUACUUUACUUUGGAUAGAGCCGAAAAAAGUUUGUGAAUAAUGUUAAUGUUCGUUGAUAAAUUGCAAUACAUCAUGGUUGUUUGACUCGAUUGCCACAUUCUGUUGAAACCAAACCUACAAAUGAAUACAAUGCAUGAAUGUGGAGCUUAGCUCUGAACUGGUGUCUUUAAUAGAUAAAAAUGGCAUGGACAUGAUACGGUGUCAGAUGCUGAUCGACUUUGUCAUAAUUAACUCAUACUAAGCAACAACAACAAUAACAACUGCUGAAGAAUGUUCCAGUCUGAGAGUUGGACACAAUUGUAUCUGUAUAAGUUGUGAAAUAUCUUUGGGAAGGCACUCAGGAAGACAAAAUUACAGGCCAGAGACUUAUGGAAAGAAUUGAAAGUGAUAUUAUAUGUAUAGAAAAAGAAAUGUCUCCGAGACAGAUUUCUGUUGGAUGCUCGUGCAUGUCUUGUUUGCAGGAUGAACUCACCUCAAAAGCAUUAAUCUUUCGAACGCCGGAACGCGGAUCUCGACCAGACACAAUGUAAAAUCUAUUGUGUCUGGUAUCUCGGCAUAUGAGAGGUUAAUAU